AGAGUUUGAUCCUGGCUCAGGACGAACGCUGGCGGCGUGCCUAAUACAUGCAAGUCGAGCGAACGGAAGAGGAGCUUGCUCCUCGGAAGUUAGCGGCGGAUGGGUGAGUAACACGUGGGCAACCUGCCCUGUAGUUGGGGAUAACUCCGGGAAACCGGGGCUAAUACCGAAUAAUUAAUUCUUUCGCAUGAAAGAAUUCUAAAAGACGGCUUCGGCUGUCACUACGGGAUGGGCCCGCGGCGCAUUAGCUAGUUGGUGGGGUAAUGGCCUACCAAGGCAACGAUGCGUAGCCGACCUGAGAGGGUGAUCGGCCACACUGGGACUGAGACACGGCCCAGACUCCUACGGGAGGCAGCAGUAGGGAAUCAUCCACAAUGGACGAAAGUCUGAUGGUGCAACGCCGCGUGAGCGAAGAAGGUUUUCGGAUCGUAAAGCUCUGUUGCGAGGGAAGAACAGGUACGAGAGUAACUGCUCGUACCUUGACGGUACCUCGUUAGAAAGCCACGGCUAACUACGUG
rnacentral:rRNA from 1 species